ACUUCUAGCGUUUAGUAUCAUACGGGCGUAUCUGCAAUGAUUCAUUCUUUUCAUCGAUUUUCUCUUCCGUUAAUAACAUUUCAUUAUUCUUGAUGCUAGUUCUAGUCGUUCUCUACAUGACUACAUCGAGGAAAAUUCACGACUACAAGGGAAAAUCGAGGAAGAGAAACCAAUCAUUGUAGAUACGCCUGUUUGAUACUAAGGGUCAGUUCCAAUUGGAGAAUUAAAAUUAGAUUUCACUUAGGCUUGACAGUUCGAUAAUUAUUUCCUUAGGAGAACUGUCAAGUUUAAGUGCCGAACUGUCAAAUUUAAGUAAAAAUCAAUUUAAUUCGUCAAUUGAAACAGACCCUGAGCACGAGUUUUUAAUUCUUUCUUCCAAGAUGGUCUAUUCCGUCUGGCUGAUCAAGGUCCUGUACUGGUCGUGCCAUUAUUUGGCUCAAUAGUUGCUGGAAAAUUCGAGAAUCCAGUAGAAAUAGGAAGCCAACCCAUGGUAACUUCCCAACUUAUUUUACAAGCACCUUUACGACGAAUUGAUUCAGCAUGAUGCUAAAUAACAUUUGGAUAAUUUUCAGGCACAACCUUUGUUCGGGUUUUCUUCACACAAAUUUGGAGAAACUAUAAAGCAUAGUGUUGUGCACCAACUGAACUGUUUGUUGUUAAAUCGUUUUACAACUAUAUAGUAAAGCUGUUAUUUAGCUUUAGCAAAAAUGAUUAAAAAUAAAUAAAAUGCUUUUUUUUAAUUUGCACGAAAGUUUAUGAUUGGAACUUAAUGCUGUGAACAAAAAUUGUGAAAUAAAAACUACACAUAAAUUUACCUAAAUCCAGAUUUGAACUCGAGACCCGUCGAUUGCCAGUCGCAUCUUGAGCCGCAUGCCUACCUAUUUGCACCAUCCUAGAGAUGAUGAAUUGCAGCUCUCAAAUUGAAACAUAAACCUCCCGUGGUUUAAUAAUGAUCAGACUUCGACUCCUAUUCAGCAGUGGUGAAUUAGUACAGACAUUAUUGUUAACGACUGAAUAACAUAUUAAUUCAGCCCUUGUGUAAUUAAAAACACGUGUUUUUCAUCAUAUAUUCUGAGUCGAAGAAUGAUGAAACGAGAGCGCUUAUUUGACUUGUGAAAAACACAUUAUACAGAUACAUUUGCUAAUUUUUACAUGAACUUAAACAGAAGCAGAAAAAAGUCUUGUUAAACUAUGUUGUAAAGGAAUUACUGCGAGUCUAAUAAAUAUCUUAUUAAACGCUUGAAAGGUGUUUUAAAUUAUUAUUGUUAAUACUAAUACGAAAAGUUAAACAUUGGCUACCUUUUCAAUUGAAAUAGCAUUUGUACAGUAAUGUGUACAGCAUAAUUUUAGUUCAGCUAUAAUUACUAUUAUAAAGCAACAAUUCAGCAUACAUGCUUAUUUGCGGCUGGCGAUUGUUAGUUGGGUUGUCAUGUGGCGACAGUUACCUCUGUCGGUUAUCAACUUGAACAAUUUUGGCGCAUUGAAGAGCUAAUCCAGCACGAUCGAAUGAUUAGAUCGUCCAAGCUAAACUACUCGAAAGCUGAAAUGGUUGGAGCAAUAAUUGACUGAGUAUCACGAUUUUCUUCAAGAAUACGUCGCUCUAGGCCAAAUGACUCCCCAAUAAGGUGGCCCACACUUACAUAUAUGAAAAACAAAAUUUUCGAAAAAUGCCAAGUCUUACCUCCUCAAUUAGUUGUUUUGGACUCCCAGAAGCUACGUUCAAAAUUUGAGCAAAAUCGGUUGAGCCUAAGGGGGCGCUCAAAACGCUUGAAGUUUGUAUGGGAAAACUUGGCCAAAUGUAUGUAGAAAUUUUAAGUUUUCGAAUUUUGCUGUUAGGUGGCGUUCAAUAAUUAUAAUCAAACCUUUUGGUAUUAUUGUAGGUGACUAUAUCACAAACGAAGAUACAGACGGAGCAGUAAUCGUUUUUUUCGGUACCACUUUUAUUUUCACCCUUUGGUAAGCCCCUCUCGCUUUGUGUAAUCAGCGCGCUUCGGUGAGCCCCUUGAACGGGCGAACUUAGCGAACUGUCAAGUCAGUUGUCAACAACAUGUUUGUUGACUUUGCAUGCUUUUUAUCUCCCCAGCAGCAACACCUGAUAGCACCGAAGACGAUGGAAGAGGAUAGUUUUUUUUUUCAAUUUAAUCCGUUAUUCCAUCGAGAACUUGGCCGGCCGACAGAUCCAGAGACUAAAGAAUUUAAUCUACAACCUUUGAUACCGAUGGCUGGUUCUGAAAACGAUGUGGCGUCAGUGAAAGUUCAGCCACAAAACUCGUCUCGCCGCGGAUGGAUUUUCGAAAAAUGUAUUGCCAAGGAUCCAUGAUUAAAUCGUCCACGCAUUACAAUGAUGGGAGGUCUGAAAGUUUGCGGCCUACCACUCGAAAAAAGAAGCAAAGUCAACAGAAAGUCGGUCAAAGCAAUGCAUCGAUAGCUGUUUCGCUGGACCCGGUCCGGCGCAAGACUUUCCUUCCGAUGGAACUAGAUAGCAAGCGGUUCUACAUCAAAGGUCGCUCUUCGUGCAAAGUAUGCAGCUGGAUUUUGGGAUAGCUUUCGGUAGUUGGGCAGUAUGGGCGUGGAACAAAAUCAGCCAGAUGUAGAAUAGGUGUCUAAAAACCGAAACUGGUUCGCUGGCAGGAUUUCGAUGAGUAUAUCGGGAAAUAUGCCGAUAUGCACUUCUUGAAUUUCAGUUUGUAUUAUAAUUAUGUUAUUCGAUUAAUGUUCUCGAUAAAUGUUGACUUAAAUAAAGGCUACCUGCUUGUGCAACAGAUAA